AUUGAACGCUGGCGGCAGGCCUAACACAUGCAAGUCGAGCGGAGCGGCGGACGGGAGAGUAAUGCCUAGGAAUCUGCCUGGUAGUGGGGGAUAACGUCCGGCAACGGGCGCUAAUACCGCAUACUAUCAGAUGAGCCUAGGUCGGGUUAGAUAGUUGGUGGGGUAAAGGCCUACCAAGGCGACGAUCCCUAACUGGUCUGAGAGGAUGACCAGUCACACUGGAACUGAGACACGGUCCAAACGCCUACGGGAGGCAGCAGUGGGGAAUAUUGGGCAAUGGGCGGAAGGCUUAUCCAGCCCUGCCGCGUGUGUGAAGAAGGGUUUCGGAGUGUAAAACACUUUUAUUUGGGAAGCGUUACCUACAGAAUAAGCACCGGCUAACUUCGUGCCAGCCGCCGCGGUAAUAC
rnacentral:rRNA from 1 species